rnacentral:rRNA from 1 species
UAGCAUGUGCGCGAGUCAUUGGGAUUAUUAAUUAAACCUAAAGGCGUAAUGAAAGUGAAGGUUCUCCUUCAUUGCGAGAACCUAGGGAGGACGGGCGGUUUUUUUCACCCUUAAAAGUGGCCGUUCCGCACUCCCGGGGCGUCUCGUUCUCAUCGCGAGAAGAGGCGCACCAAGAGCGUACACGCUGGGACCCGAAAGAUGGUGAACUAUGCCUGGUCAGGACGAAGUCAGGGGAAACCCUGAUGGAGGUCCGUAGCGAUUCUGACGUGCAAAUCGAUCGUCGGAACUGGGUAUAGGGGCGAAAGACUAAUCGAACCAUCUAGUAGCUGGUUCCCUCCGAAGUUUCCCUCAGGAUAGCUGGCGCUCGUUGCGCACGAGUCUCAUCCGGUAAAGCGAAUGAUUA